UGCUCUGUGUGUAUUUGCGGACAGUUGUUUAAUCAAAGGGGUGGACCCUGACAGAAACUGUUAGUGGUCACUCAAUGGUCAUGCCCUCAGUUCUCUCAUAGAAAUGGAAUGCCCUAUUUCUGGCCGAACACAUAACCACUCAAAAGGAAAGACCACGUUUCCCAGCCUCUCACGAAGCUAUGUACAGCCAGGCGACUAAGUUCAGACCAAUUAAAUGUGAGCAGAAGUGAUAUGGAAAACUUUCUGGUUAUUCUCUGAAGCUAGAGGCAUGUCCUCCCCUUUCCCACGUUCACUUCCCACUUCCUGGAUGUGGACAUGAUGCUGAGUCCUCUCAGUUCUACCCUAGAGGUGGUGGAGCACCUUCACAGAAGGAACCUGAGUCCCUGAGAGGGUGGAGCUGCUAAGCCAGCUAUGGACUGCAUAUGCCCAGACUAUUCAGGAAGGAAGGAAUAAGUUACUGGGUGUGUUUGUUGAAGCAACCGAACCUAUAUCUAACCAGACAUUACUCUAAAGAAUUUGUUCGUAUUGUAGACAGUAGGAAGCUAAUAACAGCAUUUGAACUCUCAUGAUUUGUUACAAGUAUUUUUGUUCUAAUGUUGAGUACAUUGAUGAUAUGCCAGUAUCAUCAAAUGAAAAUCACUAAUCCCGAGUUUCUAGAACUUGAAUAAAUCUAUCAAUAACCCAAAGCAGUCAUUGUUUACUCUUUUCUAUGUUUGCAAACGUGGAUGGGAAUUGGGAAGAAGAGCGCCAGCCACCUGAAACAGAUACAUUUACACAUCACACAGUUAGAAAAAUGAAGUUAAAAUUCCAACAAAGGAUACAUGUUCGAUAUUUUGUUAAAUACUGGGACUGCUUUGAAAUGUAUAUUAUCAAUACCUCCUUUUAAAUAACCUUCUUAGAUUUUGCUAACUCGAGACUCUAAGGUCUACCUUUCCCUCUUCUGCUGAGUAUCACAAGGUCUCCUCUCCAGAUCUAAAUGCUACAAACUUUGUUAUGAGACAGUCUUAUGGGACAAUAUCUAGAGGACUUUCAAUGUGACAGUUUUUAAAAGAAACCCUGACAUUUUUGUGGGUUCAGUGUUCAGGGCUCAGGGCUCUUGUGACUGAUGAGCAAUCUCUUUCAUCAGUGCAAGACUUUGUGAUAAAAUCUUACUCGACUUCUGUGUCUGUUAUCUUAAAGUCUACCACACCUGGCACUAUAGUCUGUGGCCUAUUUCUCUUGACAUACUAUUAAAAGUCAAGAUAUAUUCAUUGUUUCAUUUUGCCUCACGGCCCCCAAGCCCCACCUUCCACAGGCAAAGGAGAUUGUCUUUUAGGCCUAGGAGCCAAUGAAAGUGAUCCAGUACUUGGCUUGUUCCAAGUCUGGGAAAGUUCCUCCUGCCCCAGAGCUGGCAUUGAAAUUGCAAACGGUAAGCAGUUCUCAGAGGAGUCAGGGACAGCAGCUCCCCCAUCCUCCCAAUAGCUCAAGUCCCUUAAUAGAGUCUGUUGUUGAAGUUGGUAGAUAUUUGUGUUCAAUUUCUUUCUCUCCAGCAGUCUGACUCUUGUUUGUAUUCAUAAAGAAAUUGUUGACCUUAUGGAUUCGUUCGCAGCACUAUGACCUCCAAGAUGAUCUCUCUGAGACACGUACCGACACACUGCCUUUUCUCCAACUUGCCUAGGUGGUUCCCCGAGACAAAUGUGGAGCCGGUUUCAAAUCUUCUCUGUGACCUGGUGUGCCUGAUGAGGACCCAGGAGAAAAACUGCUACUUGGACCUUCAAAUUUUCUGACUCCAAGACCCAAGGCAAAACAAUUCUCCACACUUUAAUUUGAUAAAGGAUGUGCUAAACCAAAGGUCCCAACUUGAAAAGGUAAAACCAAAAAAGUUUUUCAACUUUGAAAUGUUGGCAAAGACCCCCUGGUAAGGUGUCUGUUUCAUAACCAAAGAUCAUGAGAUUCAAACCCCAUCCAUGCCUGGCCCUAGAAAGUAUAAAUUCACAGGAGAGGUGUUCUAGCAAGUGACUAAAAACACAGGCUUGGCAGCCAAACAGGUUUGUGUUUAAAUCCUGGCCUUGUCACUAAAACCAAAUGUCCUUGAGGAAACUGCUUAGCUAAAACCUUAGUUUUGUUAUCAGUCAAAUGGAGAUGUUAAUGGUACCUGUUUCUUAGUGUUGUUGCAGAGAUUAGAUGAGAUAAUCAAUGACCCCAAAGGAGAAGAAGACAAAUGGAGCUCUGGAAGAAUGAUUAAUCUCUCCCAGAAAGUGGCUAGCAUCCUCUCUGAUACAUGGGCCCUCAGCCAUGGGGACCAACCGAAGAUAUUCCUGCCCCCAGCACCAGAAACCUACUGGAGCUGCCUGGCCUGGGUGCGAUUGGACACUGUUAAGCUAUCUUUCAGAUCCUUUUCAGAGGGAAUUGUUCCAUAAGCAGCUGUUGAAUUCUUGUGUUCAUGGGAGGAGGUGAGUUCAGGAUCCUCCCAUGCUGCCAUCUUGACCCCAGCUCCACAGUCCAUACUCCAAACCACAUGUGAAAUUAUACAUGUUUAAAACCACUCUGUGGGCAAAUAGCAAUGAUACGUUUCUUCUGAACGUGUAUUCUGAAAUGUUAUCAAAAGUCCAUGGAAUGAAAAUCGCUGAGCAAGAAGCUGGAGCUAAGGAUGAAUGAGACAAAGUUCUACCCUCAGAGGGGCUGAAACACUCCUAGGGGAGAUGAGAUCGAUGAAGGAGCAAUUUAAUGCAAGCAGGAAGGUCCUCGGUAAAUUGACAAGGAGUUCAGAAGGAAAAGAAACUCCCUUCAGCUAGAAAAAUCAGGAAAGGAUGCUGCAAGGAGGUAGCACAACAUGCAUAUUCCCACUGCAAAGAAGCCACUCUGGGGGACUAUACCUUUGUUUUCAUUGUAUUGCUUCUGCUUAAAAAUAGUUUAGGACGAUACUUUGGGAAAGGGUCACCAAGGAAAGCAGCGUCAUUACUUUAAACUUCCCUUUUGUAUUCAGAAGUAUACUUCCCAGAAUGAGAUUUCAAUAUCCCACUGUUAAUCAUGGAUAGAACAACUCCACAAAAGAUCAACCAGGAAAUAGGAGAGUUGAACAACACUGCAAAACAACUAUGUUGAUUCAAAGUGAAUAAAAGUUGUUUGUUUUUUUUUUAAUUUUAGACAGAAGGGAGAAGACUUUCAUUUAAGCCUAAGUUAA